rnacentral:sRNA from 1 species
AACCGGAUCGUUGCGCCGCGGCAGGUGGU